rnacentral:tRNA from 1 species
GGGAAUGUAGCUCAGUGGUAGAGCACUUGCCUAGUAUGUGUGAGGUCCUGGGUUCAAUCCCCAGUAUCA